GGAUUAGAUACCCUGGUAGUCCUAGCUGUAAACGAUGGGUACUAGGCAAUGGGAGUCCGAUGCUCUCGUUGCCGAAGCUAAUGUGCUAAGUACCCCGCCUGGGGAGUACGGCCGCAAGGCUGAAACUCAAAGGAAUUGACGGGGGCUCACACAAGCGGUGGAGUAUGUGGUUUAAUUCGAAGCAACGCGCAGAACCUUACCAGGGUUUGAAAUGCACGGAUUAGCCCCCUGAAAGGGGGGUGACGCCUUACGGUGGAACGUGCACAGGUGUUGCAUGGCUGUCGUCAGCUCGUGCCG
rnacentral:rRNA from 1 species